AGAGUUUGAUCAUGGCUCAGAGCGAACGCUGGCGGCAGGCCUAAUACAUGCAAGUCGAACGCACCUUCGGGUGAGUGGCGGACGGGUGAGUAACGCGUGGGAACGUGCCCUUUGGUUCGGAACAACACAGGGAAACUUGUGCUAAUACCGAAUGUGCCCUUCGGGGGAAAGAUUUAUCGCCAUUGGAGCGGCCCGCGUUGGAUUAGCUAGUUGGUAGGGUAAAAGCCUACCAAGGCUACGAUCCAUAGCUGGUCUGAGAGGAUGAUCAGCCACACUGGGACUGAGACACGGCCCAGACUCCUACGGGAGGCAGCAGUAGGGAAUCUUGCGCAAUGGGCGAAAGCCUGACGCAGCCAUGCCGCGUGAAUGAUGAAGGUCUUAGGAUUGUAAAAUUCUUUCACCGGGGAAGAUAAUGACGGUACCCGGAGAAGAAGCCCCGGCUAACUUCGUGCCAGCAGCCGCGGUAAUACGAAGGGGGCUAGCGUUGCUCGGAAUUACUGGGCGUAAAGGGCGCGUAGGCGGAUAUUUAAGUUAGAGGUGAAAGCCCAGGGCUCAACCCUGGAAUAGCCUUUAAUACUGGAUAUCUUGAGUUCGGGAGAGGUGAGUGGAAUGCCGAGUGUAGAGGUGAAAUUCGUAGAUAUUCGGCGGAACACCAGUGGCGAAGGCGACUCACUGGCCCGAUACUGACGCUGAGGCGCGAAAGCGUGGGGAGCAAACAGGAUUAGAUACCCUAGUAGUCC
rnacentral:rRNA from 1 species